GAUGAACGCUAGCUACAGGCUUAACACAUGCAAGUCGAGGGACCGGCGCACGGGUGAGUAACACGUAUCCAACCUGCCCUUUACUCGGGGAUAGCCUUUCGAAAGAAAGAUUAAUACCCGAUAUAGAGGAUGGGGAUGCGUUCCAUUAGGUUGUUGGUGAGGUCACGGCCCACCAAGCCUUCGAUGGAUAGGGGGUCUGAGAGGAAGGUCCCCCACAUUUGAACUGCGACCCGGUCCAAACUCCUACGGGAGGCAGCAGUGAGGAAUAUUGGUCAAUCGGCGUUAGCCUGAACCAGCCAAGUAGCGUGAAGGAUGAUGGCUUAUGGGUCUUAAUCUUCUUUUAUAUAAGAAUAUGUAUUAUAUGAAUAAGGAUCGGCUAACUCCGUGCCAGCAGCCGCGGUAAUUC
rnacentral:rRNA from 1 species